rnacentral:rRNA from 1 species
AAUCAACGCUGGCGGCGUGCCUAACACAUGCAAGUCGUACGCGAAAGGGGAGCAAUCCCUGAGUAGAGUGGCAAACGGGUGAGUAACACGUGGGUGACCUGCCUCAGAGUGGGGGAUAACGUCCCGAAAGGGACGCUAAUACCGCAUAACAUCCUGCCUUUGGAAAGGCGGAGAUCAAAGCCGGGGAUCGCAAGACCUGGCGCUUGGAGAGGGGCCCGCGUCUGAUUAGCUAGUUGGUAGGGUAAUGGCCCACCAAGGCGACGAUCAGUAUCCGGCCUGAGAGGGCGGACGGACACACUGGGACUGAGACACGGCCCAGACUCCUACGGGAGGCAGCAGUGGGGAAUUGUUCGCAAUGGGCGCAAGCCUGACGACGCAACGCCGCGUGGAGGAUGAAGAUCUUCGGGUCGUAAACUCCUGUCGAGCGGGAAGAACACUUUUCGGGCGAAUAUCCCGAAAGGCUGACGGUACCGCUAAAGGAAGCCCCGGCUAACUCCGUGC